AGCACUCCACUCUUGUUUGCUGCGUGCGUUCGUCGCUUGGCCCGCUUGCUGUUCUCGCAAAAGCGCGGGGCAGAGGAGAGAAAGAAGCCUCUCGUUCUCCGAGAGAGACGCAGAGGCCGCAGUCAGGGCCUGGAUAUACUCGGAGGCUCGGCUUCUCCUCUGGGUGCUCCUUGUUGCUUCCAGGGAAAGUUUAGUCUGGAUCUGAGGCCUCGUGGCGCUCUUCCUGGUUUUUCAAUUUUGGUGGAGAAAUAGAGUUUGUGGUGAAGUAAAUGGCACCGCUGGAAUCCAAACCCUAAUGAAGCAGAGUCUCUUCUUAACCACUGUCUAUACUAAAGGGUGCAGACAACAGGAAAGCAACAACUCUGGUUUGGUCACCGUGGUGGUCUUGCCCGGCACAUGGUGGGAGUCCAGCCAGAGCUGAUGGCCUCCUCUUCCCUCCUGACUAUUCAUCUGCUUCCACUCCAGGAGCACCACAGGCAUCUCCCCUGAUGCAGGGUAAAUUGCAGAAGCCGUGGUACCAGCCCGCAUCCAUGACCCCACAGAUAUUCCCCUUCUCCAAGUGGACUGACCCAGGCCUUUUACAAACACAGAAGGAUCUUGUGCAAGAUGAAUUUUAGUACUAGCUACUAAAAGAUCUCUUCACACAAAAGGCAAUAUUCCUGAAUUUGUAUUGGUCCAGGCAUUCGAGAAUCAAGGUGCAUCCGUAGGAAGAAAGAGAGAGAGACCAGUUCUGAAGAGUAUCUGCUGGUGAAUGUUACUUAAAUCUGAACUUUGAGUCAUGAAAAAUAGAAAGAUGUACGUCGUUAUGGUACUGUUUCCAGGUAGGUAUUAUUUCUUUAUCCUCAAUAGGAAUAACGUUUCUAAGCACAAUUUUGACUAGUGUUCCUUCAGAAGCAAAGCUGGGAAAGACCACUUACUUAUUGACUAGCUUCCCAAGCCUUCCCAAGCUUUGUACCAGCUCCCAAGAAAUCAGCACUUGAACUGUGGUCAAUUGACAUAAUGACAUAUUAGGCUGAUGGUUGCCCGCAUAAAAGCAACACCAAAUUGUAUAUUUAUUUUGCUAGAAACUUUGAUUCUUUUCUGACUGAACCUUGGUAGAUUUUGGAGGUUUGCACCUGUUUGUUUCUCUGAAUUAAAAAAACAUCUUUUUAAAUUCAGUUUUUAGCACACCAUAGAAAGAGCUGUAACUGCAGAAUGAAUAAACAAAUGAGUGGAUGGAAUGACAGACAGUGCUUUCAGGAUACACUCAGCAUUCCCCUGCAUGGGAGACAGCCUGGGACCUGGGACCCUUUAUGAAAGCCCUUGCUUGUACCUAGGCCAAGGAGCAACAGAAUACAAAGAAACUAUGAGGGACUAAAAAUAAUUGCACAGUUGCACAGUUGGGGCAGUUCUGAACAACAAGAUACAGAAAAGGCCAAAACCCAAUUGCCACUUUGGAGAUACUGGGCACAAAAGGAGGGGACUGUGCAUGACCUCUGGACCCAGCACCACCAAAGGGGUGGACAGACCACCUGAUCCAUGCCUUUCAUCCAACCCACUGAUCUCCCCCACCCAUACCCUGUUUAAGGGACCAGCUCACCCCCCUGCUGCAGCAUGAGUCCCAGUAAAGCCUUGCCAGAAUUCUUCGUCUGCUAGCAAUUUCUGUUGAUGAAAGGGUACAAGGACCCCAGUGAGAAUCAAAUGGGGCCUGCUGCAUUGUUGUCGAGACUCAGGAAACCAUAGCUUCGAAAGCUAAUGUGGGAGUUCCCAUUAUGGCACAGCAGUAAUGAACCCAAUGAGCAUCCAUGAGGACGCAGCCUCAAUCCUUGGUCCCGCUCAGUGGGUUAAGCAUCUGGGCAUUGCUGUGAGCUGUAGUGCAAGGCGCAGACACAGCUUGGAUCCUAUGUUGCUGUGGCUAUGGUGUAGACCGGCAGCCACAGCUCCGAUUUGACCCCUAGCCUGGAACUUCCAAAUGCUGUAGGUGUGGCCCUAAAAAGACAAAGGAAAAAAAGAAAGCUAAUGGGGAAAUCAUCAAGUCAUAAAAAUGCUGCUGGGGACCCACGUUUUCACUGGUCCCUGGCAUUUCCACAGUCAUCGCUUCCUUUCUUUACACAUCCAAAGGCUUAGAAAUCUCCAACCAGAUGCAUUGUAGUGUUCUCCUCAUGUCUCAUGAAACCCAGGGGGAAAAGAUGUAAAAAGAGGGGCAGGUGGUUCAGCAUUUUUUUUGGUUAGACCCCGUUUUUUGGUUCUCUCUUUCUCUCAGGCCUGCGCAUGUGGGCCAGUGUGAAUUUGCAUGGUUACCUGCAGACACAGUGCUCUAAACUUGGCCAAGCAUUGAUGUCACUCACCAAACUCAUAAAGUAACCAGGUCAAAUUUCUGCUCCAGAUGGUGGAUUUAGCCUUAGUAAUUUAUAGUCACACCAUGAAUGGCAAGUUGGGAUGUCAAGCCCUGUAGUCAUACUUAUAUUAGUGGUGUUCCCUGCUGAGGAUCUAGUUUAUGCUGUCGCAUUUCAAACUUGUGUAUUCUUUCACCACUAAUUAUAUAACCAUUGCAAUUUCUGCUUGUCUUCUGCUUUGAAAAAGAUAGUGAUUUUUUUUUUUUUUUUUAGGGCUGCAACUGCGGCACAUGGAGGUUCCCAGGCCAGGGGUCGAAUCGGAGCUGUAGCCACUGGCCUACCCCACAGCCACAGCAAUGCAGGAUCUGAGCCAUGCCUGCAACCUACACUACAGCUCACAGCAAUGCCAGAUCCCCAACCCACUGAGCCAGGCCAGGAAUCGAACCGGAGUCCCCAUGGAUGCUAGUCAGAUUCGUUAAUUGCUGAGCCAUAACAGGAACUCCAAUAUAGUGAUUCAUAAUAUAGGUUUUUAUAUGCAUGCUUUGAAAUGUGCAGUGGACCAUGAACACAGAAAUUGUGAGCUUUAUAUAUUCAUUCAUUCAUUCAUUCUUCUGAGUGCCUAGCACAGUGCCCAGCAGGCAGAAGUCAAUCAAUAUGUGUGUGUGUGUGCACGUGAGAGAAAGAGAGAGUGACUGAGAGAAAAUAAUACAUAAUAUCCUUUUUGAAAAAUGUGCCAAAGGUGUGUGAAGUUGUUUUAUUUUGUUUUGUUGAAGCAUAGCUGAUUUUACAGUUGUGUUAGUUUCUGGUGUAUAGCAAAGUGAGUCAGUUUAAUAUAUAUAUGCAUAUAUGUAUAUUCUUUUUCAGAUUCAUUUACAUUAUAGUUUAUUACAGGUUAUUGAUUGUUGUUCCCUGUGUUAUUACAGUGGGUCCUUGUUUUUCAUCUGUUUUAUAUGUAAUAGUUUGUAUCUGCUAAUCCCAAACUCCUAGUUUAUGCCUCCCCCCUUCCAUUUUGAUAACCAUAAGUGUAUUUUCUAUGUCUGUGAGUCUGUUUCAGUUUUGUAAAUAAGUUCAUUUCCAGCAUUUGAUUACAUGNAUAAUGUGAUAUUAUAUGAUAUUCAUCUUUCUCUGACUUCACGUAAUAUGAUAAGUAUUAAGUACGUACAUCCAUGUUGCUGCAAAUGGCAUUAGUUCAUUCUUUUUUAUGGCUGAGUAAUAUUCAUGUAUAUCUCACAUCUUCUUUAUCCAUUCAUCUGUCAAUGGACAUUUAGGCUGCUUUCAUGUCCUGGUUAUCGUAAACAGUGCUGCUGUGAACACCAGGGUGCAUCUUUUUGAAUUAGAAUUUUGUCUAGCUCUAUGCCCAGGAGUGGGAUUGCUAAAUCAGAUGACCACUCUAUUUUUAGUUUUUUAAGGAACCUCCAUACUGCUCUCCAUUGCGGCUGCACUAAUUUACAUUCCUGCCAACAGUAUAGGAGGGAGGGUUCCCUUUUGCACAAUUUUAAAUGCUUUACCUUAUUGGCACGUUUAAUCCUCAUAAUAGUCCCUAGAGGAGCUUUUCAUUGUCCAUGAACGAACUGGAUGCACGUGAAGGUGGAGGGAAUUGUCCAUGUCAGUGAACGGCAGAGCUAAGGUUUGAACCCAGGCAUCCUGUGGUCAGAGAUUGUGCCUGUCACCAUGAUCCUGCCUUGCCUCUCAAGUUGUGAUGCUGCCAAAGUUCUUAGGUCCCCGGGAGGAACAUGAUAUAAAGUGCAUUUC
rnacentral:lncRNA from 1 species